AGCCAUCGACAGGGGUGCCCCGGCGCGUCGCCGUGGGCUGAGAUCACACCCUCAGAACCUGAUCCGGUUCGUACCGGCGAAGGGAGCUCAGCAUGACCUGCC
rnacentral:ncRNA from 2 species